GAAAGUAAACAAGGGCGCAUGGAGGAUGCCUAGGCUCUCGGAGGCGAAGAAGGACGUGAUAAGCUGCGAAAAGUUACGGUAAGGCGCAAAUAGCCCUAGACCCGUAAAUAUCCGAAUGGGGCAACCCGGCCAGCAAUGGUCAUACCGUCAAGCGGUAAGCCAACGCGGGGAACUGAAACAUCUAAGUACCCGCAGGAAAAGAAAAUAACAAUGAUUCCGCCAGUAGUGGCGAGCGAACGCGGAACAGCCCAAACCACUCGUGUUACGGCACGAGUGGGGUAGAAGGAUCCACGCUACGGCAAGAAAUAAGUUAGCAGAAUACGAUGGAAAUCGUAGCCAAAGACGGUGACAGCCCAGUACGCGAAAACCGACAGAAGCCCAGUGGACACCUGAGUAACCCAGGACACGAGAAAUCCGGGGCGAAUCAGCGGGGCCCAUCCCGUAAGGCUAAAUACUCCCGAGAGACCGAUAGCGAACCAGUACUGUGAAGGAAAGGUGAAAAGAACCUCGAACAGAGGAGUGAAACAGACCCUGAAACCAUGCGCCUACAAGCGGUCGGAGCAUGUUAAAAUGUGACGGCGUGCCUUUUGCAUAAUGAACCUACGAGUUACUCUCGCUGGCAAGGUUAAGCGAUUCAGUCGCGCAGCCGAAGCGAAAGCAAGUCCGAACAAGGCGUACAGUCAGCGGGAGUAGACGCGAAACCAAGUGAUCUACCCUUGGUCAGGUUGAAGGUUGGGUAACACCAACUGGAGGACCGCACCGAUAAGCGUUGAAAAGCUUACGGAUGAACUGAGGGUAGGAGUGAAAGGCCAAUCAAACUUGGAGAUAGCUCGUACUCCCCGAAAUGCAUUUAGGUGCAGCCUCGAAGCAGAGUGAUAGAGGUAGAGCGACUGAUAAGAUGCGAGGGCUUCACCGCCUAUCAAGUCUUGACAAACUCCGAAUACUAUCACUUGAUCUUCGGGAGUGAGGGCAUGGGUGCUAAGGUCCAUGUCCGAAAGAGGAACAACUCAGACCACCAGCUAAGGUCCCGAAAUAAGGGCUAAGUUGAAUAAACGAAGUAAAACUGCAAAGACAGCUAGGAUGUUGGCUUGGAAGCAGCCAUUCAUUUAAAGAGUGCGUAACAGCUCACUAGUCGAGGAGUUUUGCAUGGAUAAUAAUCGGGCAUAAGCCCUUUACCGAAGCUGUGGAUGUCGUAAGACAUGGUAGGGGAGCAUUCCGGCGGCGACGAAGGCCGUCCUCGAGGACGACUGGAGCUUUCGGAAAAGCAAAUGUAGGUAUAAGUAACGAUAAAGGGGGCGUGAAACCCCCUCGCCAUAAGACUAAGGAUUCCUGAUCAACGCUAAUCGGAUCAGGGUAAGUCGGGCCCUAAGGCGCAGCCGAACGGCGUAGCCGAUGGAAGAAACGGUAAAGAUUCCGUUACUGGAUAUAGGAGCGAUGUGGAGACGGAGAAGUGACACACCCGCCUGCCGACGGAAGCGCAGGUUAAAGGAAGUAGGUAAACGCCGGGUAGGCAAAUCCGCCUGGCGUGCCGAAGCUGACAGUAUCGAGAGCCCCCGGGCAAUCGAAUAGCGGUGGUAAUCAGGCUCCCAAGAAAAUCCGCUAAGCAUAUUCUAUAUCCACCCGUACCCCAAACGGACACACGUAGUCGGGUAGAAUAUACCAAGGCGCUCGAAAGACUCACGGUUAAGGAACUAGGCAAAUUGACCCUGUAACCUCGGGAAAAAGGGUCCCCAGUAAGAUGGGGCGCAGAGAAUAGGUCCAGGCAACUGUUUAACAAAAACACAGGGCUGUGCAAAAUUUCAAGAUGAAGUAUACAGCCUGACACCUGCCCGGUGCCGGAAGGUUAAGAGGAGAGCUUAUCGCAAGAGAAGGCUUGAAUUGAAGCCCCGGUAAACGGCGGCCGUAACUAUAACGGUCCUAAGGUAGCGAAAUUCCUUGUCGGGUAAGUUC
rnacentral:rRNA from 1 species